GACGGGCUCACGUGGUAUUAGCUAGUUGGUAGGGUAACGGCCUACCAAGGCGAUGAUGCCUAGGGGGUGUUAGCGCACGAUCCCCACCACUGGGACUGAGACACUGCCCAGACACCUACGGGUGGCUGCAGUCGAGAAUCUUCGGCAAUGGGCGCAAGCCUGACCGAGCGACGCCGCGUGGAGGAUGAAGGCCUUCGGGUUGUAAACUCCUGUCAGGGGGGAUGAAAGUCAGGUGGGCUCUCCCAUCUGAUUGACAUAGCCUCAGAGGAAGCACGGGCUAAGUUCGUGCCAGCAGCCGCGGUAAGACGAACCGUGCGAACGUUGUUCGGAAUCACUGGGCUUAAGGGGCGCGUAGGCGGUGUGUUAAGUCGGCGGUGAAAUACUUCGGCUCAACCGGAGAAUGGCCGCUGAAACUGGCACGCUCGAGGGAGGUAGAGGUGUGUGGAACUUCCGGUGGAGCGGUGAAAUGCGUUGAUAUCGGAAGG
rnacentral:rRNA from 1 species